CCCAAAUUCAGUAUCUCAGAAGAUUAGAAUAUUACUUAAGACCAAUACAAAGAAAGGAUUUUUAUAAAUCUUGGCCAACUGAAAAGUAUGAACAUGAAAAAUAUGAGCAUGUACAGCACUCAAUACUUAGUUGGGGCUCCUUUUGCCUGAAUUACUGCAGCAAUGCGGCGUGGGAUUGAGUCUGUGGCACUGCUCAGGUGUUAUGAGAGCCCAGGUUGCUCUGAUAAUGGCCUUCAGCUCUUCUGCAUUCUUGGGUCUGGCAUAUCGCAUCUUCCUCUUCACAAUACCCCAUAGAUUUUCUAUGGGGUUAAGGUCAGGCGAGUUUGAUGGCAAAUUAAGAACAGGGAUACCAUGGUCCUUAAACCAGGUACUGGUAGCUUUGGCACUGUGUGCAGGUGCCAAGUCCUGUUGGAAAAUGAAAUCUGCAUCUCCAUAAAGUUGGUCAGCAGCAGGAAGCAUGAAGUGCUCUAAAACUUCCUGGUAUACGGCUGCGUUGACCUUGGACCUCAGAAAACACAGUGGACCAACACCAGCAGAUGACAUGGCACCCCAAACCAUCACUGACUGUGGAAACUUUACACUGGACCUCAAGCAACGUGGAUUAUGUGCCUCUUCUCUCUUCCUCCAGACUCUGGGUCCCUGAUUUCCAAAGGAAAUGCAAAAUUUACUUUAAUCAGAGAACAUAACUUUGGACCACUCAGCAGCAGUCCAGUCCUUUUUGUCUUUAGCCCAGGCAAGACGCUUCUGACGCUGGCUGUUGUUCAAGAGUGGCUUGACACAAGGAAUGCGACAGCUGAAACCCAUGUCUUGCAUAUGUCUGUGCGUAGUGGUUCUUGAAGCACUGACUCCAGCUGCAGUCCACUCUUUGUGAAUCUCCCCUACAUUUUGAUUGUGUUUUGUUUCAUAAUCCUCUCCAGGGUGCAGUUAUCCCUAUUGCUUGUACACUUUUUUCUACCACAUCUUUUCCUUCCCUUCGCCUCUCUAUUUAUGUGCUUGGACACAGAGCUCUGUGAACAGCCAGCCUCUUUUGCAAUGACCUUUUGUGUCUUGCCCUCCUUGUGCAAGGUGUCAAUGGUCGUCUUUUAGACAACUGUCAAGUCAGCAGUCUUCCCCGUGAUUGUGUAGCCUACAGAACUAGACUGAGAGACCAUUUAAAGGCCUUUGCAGGUGAUUCACCUUCACUGCGCAGCAUGGGCGGAGUCUCGUACCUGUGCUCGUGAGUGCUGUCCGCCAUGUUUGUGUGGUUUCGAUGUAAAGAAAACAAUGGAUUAUUUACCAAGAGAUAUGGAUGUAUGGAGUCAUUUCGACAAAACACUUCUGGUAAGUAUCGUUGAGCAUUUAUUUUUAGUAUUUUACUAGCGCAGGCGCUUAUAAGCUCAUAAAGGAACUCACAAAAGAUAACCUCACGUGUGAGACUGCUGCGAACGCGGCUUUGUGCGAAACGUAAGUUAAAAAUAAAUAAACGAUAUCUCUUUCAUCUUUGAUCUAAGUAUUGUUGUGUGGGUCUAGAGAAAACUGACGAGCAACACUACAGUCCGGCAAACAAACAUAUGAGGAAGAGGAGGAUGAUGGCGGUCCAGCAUUUACAAAGAGAAAGUAACCAGUGUCAUCGCUGAAGGAAUGGCAGACAUUACUCAGACACCUGUGAACACAGACAGAGCACUGCUUGGAGUCCAAGACAGUGGACAUCAUCUUUAUUAUACUUCUGACUGAACUAGCAAGGAGCAUUAGAGACGUUGAGCAAGUAAAAUGUCUGAAUUGACUGUUUCAUCAUGUUAUUUUCUGCAGUAACUGCGGGGAAUAUUAACUGAAGAGACCUUAUCAACAGCAGGCUUUGGAUCUACUGAAUAUGUAUUUUUCAAGCAUUUUAUUGCAGGGUUCACUGUUAUUUUUUUGCAUAGCGAUGACUGGUAAAAAUGUGUUGAUUCAUUUAAUUCAAUGUAUAGUUAACCAGAAUUCUGUCAUUUAUGCUUUACCAAACCUUUGACGUUUGUUUUUCUGCAGAACUCAAACGAAGAUACUUUGAAGAAUGCUGGUAAUCAAACCCAACAAGUUUGUCAGGUGCAGAAAUGAAAGCUCCCAAACAAAGAUGUCACUGGAUUAAGAAGUGGAAAGACAUGUUACACCACUGCAACCAUAAAUCCUGAGCGAUUUGAAAGGGGGCAACAACCAUGAAAAAGUAUGCAUUGUUUGACUCAAAAAUGAUUCAUGGUAAUAGUUGUAAAUGAUUAGAUAAAGUACAAAAUGUGUUUAAUUUUAAAACUCUGCCAUUUACAGUACUAAUGUGUUGUUCAAAUACUAAGUUUUGGUGUCUCUUUACAAUAAGGUAUAUCUUUAGUUAACAUUAGUAAAUGUUGAAAUUUACAUUAAAUAACAAUGAGCAAUACAUUUGUUACAAUAUACAUUACUAUUUCAUGCUGUUAAAAAACAACAACUGUUCUUUGUUAGUUCAUGUUAGCUCUGAUCCAUUAAAUAAUGUCAACAGGCACACUUUUGUUCUUAAUGUAUUAGUAAAUGUUGAAAAUAACUAGGUUAAUAUAUUAACUACAGUUAACUAAGGUUAAUGUUAAGUAUUUGGCAUGUUAGUCCAUGUUGGGUAGGUAACUAAUGUUAACAAAUGAAACCUUAUUGUAAAUUGUAAAGUGUCACCUGAGUGUUUUUUGUUUAUACUUGUUAAAUUUUAGUUUUCAAGAAUAAAUAACCUAAAUGUAAGGGUAAUUUCGCUAAAUGUUAUGCUUUAUAUAUAUAUAUAUAUA
ensembl:lncRNA